rnacentral:rRNA from 1 species
GAUGAACGCUGGCGGCGUGCCUAAUACAUGCAAGUCGAGCGAACAGAUGAGGAGCUUGCUCCUCUGACGUUAGCGGCGGACGGGUGAGUAACACGUGGAUAACCUACCUAUAAGACUGGGAUAACUUCGGGAAACCGGCGCUAAUACCGGAGAAUAUAUUGAACCGCAUGGUUCGAUAGUGAAAUACGGUUUUGCUGUCACUUAUAGAUGGAUCCGCGCCGCAUGAGCUAGUUGGUAAGGUAACGGGUUACGAAGGCAACGAUGCGUAGCCGACCUGAGAGGGUGAUCGGCCACACUGGAACUGAGACACGGUCCAGACUACUAAGGGAGGCAGCAGUAGGGAAUCUGACGCAAUGGGCGAAAGCAUGACGGAGCAACGCCGCGUGAGUGAUGAAGGUCUUCGGAUCGUAAAACUCUGUUAUUAGGGAAGAACAAAUGUGUAAGUAACUAUGCACGUAUUGACGGUACCUAAUCAGAAAGCAACGGCUAACUACGUG